rnacentral:rRNA from 1 species
AGAGUUUGAUUCUGGCUCAGAUUGAACGCUGGCGGCAGGCCUAACACAUGCAAGUCGAACGGUAACAGGAAGCAGCUUGCUGCUUCGCUGACGAGUGGCGGACGGGUGAGUAAUGUCUGGGAAACUGCCUGAUGGAGGGGGAUAACUACUGGAAACGGUAGCUAAUACCGCAUAACGUCGCAAGACCAAAGAGGGGGACCUUCGGGCCUCUUGCCAUCGGAUGUGCCCAGAUGGGAUUAGCUAGUAGGUGGGGUAACGGCUCACCUAGGCGACGAUCCCUAGCUGGUCUGAGAGGAUGACCAGCCACACUGGAACUGAGACACGGUCCAGACUCCUACGGGAGGCAGCAGUGGGGAAUAUUGCACAAUGGGCGCAAGCCUGAUGCAGCCAUGCCGCGUGUAUGAAGAAGGCCUUCGGGUUGUAAAGUACUUUCAGCGGGGAGGAAGGGAGUAAAGUUAAUACCUUUGCUCAUUGACGUUACCCGCAGAAGAAGCACCGGCUAACUCCGUGCCAGCAGCCGCGGUAAUACGGAGGGUGCAAGCGUUAAUCGGAAUUACUGGGCAUAAAGCGCACGCAGGCGGUUUGUUAAGUCAGAUGUGAAAUCCCCGGGCUCAACCUGGGAACUGCAUCUGAUACUGGCAAGCUUGAGUCUCGUAGAGGGGGGUAGAAUUCCAGGUGUAGCGGUGAAAUGCGUAGAGAUCUGGAGGAAUACCGGUGGCGAAGGCGGCCCCUUGGACGAAGACUGACGCUCAGGUGCGAAAGCGUGGGGAGCAAACAAGAUUAGAUACCCUGGUAGUCCACGCCGUAAACGAUGUCGACUUGGAGGUUGUGCCCUUGAGGCGUGGCUUCCGGAGCUAACGCGUUAAGUCGACCGCCUGGGGAGUACGGCCGCAAGGUUAAAACUCAAAUGAAUUGACGGGGGCCCGCACAAGCGGUGGAGCAUGUGGUUUAAUUCGAUGCAACGCGAAGAACCUUACCUGGUCUUGACAUCCACGGAAGUUUUCAGAGAUGAGAAUGUGCCUUCGGGAACCGUGAGACAGGUGCUGCAUGGCUGUCGUCAGCUCGUGUUGUGAAAUGUUGGGUUAAGUCCCGCAACGAGCGCAACCCUUAUCCUUUGUUGCCAGCGGUCCGGCCGGGAACUCAAAGGAGACUGCCAGUGAUAAACUGGAGGAAGGUGGGGAUGACGUCAAGUCAUCAUGGCCCUUACGACCAGGGCUACACACGUGCUACAAUGGCGCAUACAAAGAGAAGCGACCUCGCGAGAGCAAGCGGACCUCAUAAAGUGCGUCGUAGUCCGGAUUGGAGUCUGCAACUCGACUCCAUGAAGUCGGAAUCGCUAGUAAUCGUGGAUCAGAAUGCCACGGUGAAUACGUUGCCGGGCCUUGCACACACCGCCCGUCA